rnacentral:lncRNA from 1 species
UAGGAGUUCAAGGUCAUCCUCUUCUACUAGCAGCACACACACACUCACACAUACACACACACACACACUCACACAUACACACACAUACACACACUCACACAUACACACACAUACACACACUCACACAUACACACACAUACACACAUACACAUACACACACAUACUCGCACACACAUACACACACAUACACACACAUACACACACACACACACACACACACACACAGAGUGACACAGUGGGGGUAGGGGUAGGGAGAAGGAGGGAGUUCUCUAAAUGGAAGGAGGCAGAGGCUAGAAUUUUCCAGAAAGUAGAUUCAUUGGGAGAGACUAUAUCAGGGAAUGUAGUUUCACCCAGAAUGUUUGCUCCAUCCUGGGACCUGACAGAGAUCAAGUUUUUAAAGGGCUGAUAGAUGCUGGUCCCUGUUUGUCUGGCCUACUUUAAGAAUGGCCAAGGGAUGCACUGUCAGGCACUGUCUAUCAACAUGCUCCCACCACAGCUCUGUGGAUGCCAAUAGGAGAUUAGUACCUCCCCUGAGUGGAUGCUGACCCCCUACAAGCCCAGCAUGCCUUGCCUGAGGCUCUGAGACCUGUGAACAGGGGCCAGAAAGCAGAAUAGAAAAAAAACCCAAGCGUUUUUCUAUUUGGGAAGGGCACUGUCAUUUUGGAAGGGCACCAGAAAUAGGACUCUUGCUGCUGGAAGCCAGGGAAAAUAUAUACGUUCCUAAUGGAAAGGAUUGAGGGUCGCAUCACACAGGGGUGCAAGCUAGUUUUGUGACAUGAGUUUGGUGACGUGUUUUCUUUUUGGGGCCCACUGUUUCCCGGCCAAUGUGUCACCUGUCACACAGGUUAGUGAGGCUUUCGUUUAUUCCCUAAAAGCUUGCUGAAUCAAGAUGAGCUUUCAUGUCCUUGUCUUGGCCAGCCUGAAAAAGAAGGAGAUUUGGUCCCCUAGAUGAAGGUCCCAUGGACUCUGAAUCCAUGAGUCAGUAGGUUGAAACAAAAGCCAGAUUCCCUGGAAACCAUGUUCCCUGAAUCCAUCCGAGGAUGCUUAAUUGGAAACCUUCCAAAUACAGGAUGGACACACCCUGCUUUGUCACCCCCCCCCCACUACCACAUUGCUUUCUCCCUGGACACUGAAUGUAGCAGCCGUUCAAGCACACGUGGUCCUGGCUUGGAAUCAUUCAUAAUUCUAGAGAAGAUAGAAAGCCGCAUCUCUAAUGACUGCCAGGAAGUGGAUGAGAAGUCCGGGAUGUAGGACCAGCGACCUGCAGCUGUUCUUAGAUAGCCAGAGACUAGCGCCGGACACAUGUUUGUCGUAGCUGUGUUCCCACCAUAGCAAGAGACACGGGCAGAGAGGGAGCAGCAACAGGGUCCCCAAGUCUUUGUCUCUUCUUCUUCAUUUCACCUCAGAGCCUGUUUGAGCCAGGCAUGGUGGCAUGCGGUCCCAGCACAUGGGAGGCAGAGGCAGGAAGAACGUGUUGAGUUAGAGAGCAGACUGGGCUACAUGGUGAGUGCCGGGCCAGCCGGGGCUACAGUGUAAGAUCUUGUCUCCUAAACAAUACAAAGAAAACAAUAAAAUUCUACUUCCUGCCCUCAGUUCCUGCUUCCUGAAGCAGCCCGAGGUCUAGUCAAUGUUCACAGGCAAACCACAUCGUUCUUCCCGGAGAAGACGGGUCUAGAGAAAGGUCUCUCUCAGCUCCUGAUUACAAGUUCACAUAGAUGGGGGACUCGGAGUAAUCCUUAGGGAACUCUCCAUUGACUCCUCACCGGCAGUUUGGUUUCUCUUCCACAAGUUCAGAAAGAAGUUAAUUGUCCAAGACAAAGCCAUGGUGAUGCUCGUGAAAGCCAUUCAGACUCCAAAAGUCUGGUCCUGCCAGGUGUGGGCGAGCUGUGGUCCUCGGGCGAGUACAGGUCAUUAACUUAUUCUCAAAGCACAGAUGUAAAUGUCUGGGAUUUAAACCCUACGCACAGGGUGACUCUGAAGCACAGGUAAAGACUGUUCUAAUCAGGAGCUUCUUGCCUCUUUCUUCCAGAAUGUUCCAGUCGGAUGUCAAUCAUGCAUCUCAAUUUCCCAUUGUACCUCAUUUGUAUUCUUUGGGGGGGGG